GACGAACGCUGGCGGCGUGCCUAACACAUGCAAGUCAACUUGACUGAAGGAGCAAUCUGACAGUAGAGUGGCGCAAGGGUGCGUAACGCGUAAGUAACUUGCCCCAAGGUAAGGAAUAACGUCGAGAAAUCGGCGCUAAUACCUCAUAAUGCAGCGGAUCCGCAUGGAUAUGUUGUUAAAGGUUUACCGCCUUGGGAUAGGCUUGCGUCUGAUUAGCUAGUUGGUGUGGUAACGGCACACCAAGGCUACGAUCAGUAACUGGUCUGAGAGGAUGAUCAGUCACACUGGAACUGAGACACGGUCCAGACUCCUACGGGAGGCAGCAGUGAGGAAUAUUGGGCAAUGCUCGAAAGAGUGACCCAGCAACGCCGCGUGGAGGAUGAAGGUAUUCUAUAUCGUAAACUCCUGUGAGAGCAGACGAAAGACAGAUUAUUAAUCUGGAAUGACUGUAUGCUCAGAGGAAGCCCCGGCUAACUACG
rnacentral:rRNA from 1 species